rnacentral:rRNA from 1 species
UCGAACAAAGUAGAAAACCGGAAGGUUUUUCUACA